AUAGCCAUCCUGCCGCCGGGACUCAUUCUGCCUUUCGCCGCGGAGGGAUCUGUAUAUCGCCACACAGUCCGAGCCACAAAUAUGCCCCGUUUAGGACUCGCCGGUGUCACGGAUGUCCCCGCUCAAACUGGGCCAAGUGGAACACUUCAGCUCUACAGUGGUACACUGUACUUCUUGUACAUCUGUCAGAAGCAGUCUGCAAAAAAUAAGAGUGGGGGCUGUCUCAAAAAUUCUGAGAAAAGGAACUGAAAGUGAGAGAUGCAAGGGAUCACUGCCUCCAAGUUGCUGUUGCCAUAGAACUGCUGCUGCUGCUCCAGAAAAAAACUGCAGCAUGGAUUUCCUCUGCCACUGAAGGUCUAACAUCUGCACUCACGUCAGGAAACAGCAGGAGAUAGGCAAGGCGCAGCAUCAGCUGAGAUCAGGCUUCUGGCAUGGAGUCUGUGGCUGCUUCAUGAAGGUAGCUCACUCAGCCAGAGGAUAAAUGCAUGUAAGCUAUAGGUUAUCUGCCCAUUAAUUGGGGGUAACUUUCUGGCAUUCACAUGGGUGUUUGUGGGAAGUGUCUCA